CCUACGGGUGGCAGCAGUGAGGAAUAUUGGUCAAUGUGCGAGAGCCUGAACCAGCCAAGUCGCGUGAGGGAGUACUGCCCUAUGGGUUGUAAACCUCUUUUGUCGGGGAGCAAAAGCCGGACGUGUCCGGCUGUGAGAGUACCCGAAGAAAAAGCAUCGGCUAACUCCGUGCCAGCAGCCGCGGUAAUACGGAGGAUGCGAGCGUUAUCCGGAUUUAUUGGGUUUAAAGGGUGCGCAGGCGGAUUUUUAAGUCAGCGGUAAAAUCGUGGGGCUCAACCCCAUCCAGCCGUUGAAACUGGGGAUCUAGAGUGUGCGAGAGGUAUGCGGAAUGCGUGGUGUAGCGGUGAAAUGCAUAGAUAUCACGCAGAACCCCGAUUGCGAAGGCAGCAUACCGGUGCACAACUGACGCUCAGGCACGAAAGCGUGGGUAUCGAACAGGAUUAGAUACCCCUGUAGUC
rnacentral:rRNA from 1 species